ensembl:lncRNA
CCCCUGUAUAUGACUGUAGGUCUAUAUCUAGCUACUGUUCUGUAUAUGACUGUAGGUCUAUAUCUAGCUACUGUUCUGUAUCUGACUGUAGGUCUAUAUCUAGCUACCCCCCUGUAUAUGACUGUAGGUCUAUAUCUAGAUACUGUUCUGUAUCUGACUGUAGGUCUAUAUCUAGCUACCCCCCUGUAUAUGACUGUAGGUCUAUAUCUAGCUACCCCCCUGUAUAUGACUGUAGGUCUAUAUCUAACUAUCCCCCUGUAUAUGACUGUAGGUCUAUAUCUAACUACCCCCGCUGUAUAUGACUUUAGGUCUAUAUAUAGCUACCCCCUGUAUAUGACUGUAGGUCUAUAUCUAGCUACUGUUCUGUAUAUGACUGUAGGUCUAUAUCUAGCUACUGUUCUGUAUAUGACUGUAGGUCUAUAUCUAGCUACUGUUCUGUAUCUGACUGUAGGUCUAUAUCUAGCUACCCCCCUGUAUAUGACUGUAGGUCUAUAUCUAGCUACCCCCCUGUAUAUGACUGUAGGUCUAUAUCUAGCUACUGUUCUGUAUCUGACUGUAGGUCUAUAUCUAACUACCCCCCUGUAUAUGACUGUAGGUCUAUAUCUAGCUACCCCCCUGUAUAUGACUGUAGGUCUAUAUCUAGUUACUGUUCUGUAUCUGACUGUAGGUCUAUAUCUAACUACCCC